GCCUUCGUGGCUCAAUGGUUAAGUGCUCAGCUGCUAACUGAAAGGUUGGUGGCUUGAACCCACCCAGCAGCU
rnacentral:tRNA from 1 species